rnacentral:rRNA from 1 species
GGUGAACGCUGGCGGCGUGCUUAACACAUGCAAGUCGAACGAACUUAUUAGGGCUUGCUCUAAUAAGUUAGUGGCAGACGGGUGAGUAAUACAUAGGAAUCUACCCAGCAGUACGGAAUAACUUUUGGAAACGAAAGAUAAUACCGUAUACAGCUGAGAAGUGAAAGAUUUAUCGCUGUUGGAUGAGCCUAUGCAGGAUUAGCUAGUUGGUGGGGUAAUGGCCUACCAAGGCUAUGAUCCUUAGCUGGUCUGAGAGGAUGAACAGCCACACUGGAACUGAGACACGGUCCAGACUCCUACGGGAGGCAGCAGUGGGGAAUUUUGGACAAUGGGCGAAAGCCUGAUCCAGCGACGCCGCGUGAGUGAUGAAGGCCUUAGGGUUGUAAAGCUCUUUCAGUAGGGAAGAUAGUGACGGUACCUACAGAAGAAGCCCCGGCUAACUUCGUGCCAGCCGCCGCCGUAA